rnacentral:rRNA from 1 species
UACGUAGGGUCCGAGCGUUGUCCGGAAUUAUUGGGCGUAAAGGGCUCGUAGGCCGUCUGUUGCGUCGGGAGUGAAAACUUACAGCUUAACUGUGAGCGUGCUUCCGAUACGGGCAGACUUGAGGUAUUCAGGGGAGAACGGAAUUCCUGGUGUAGCGGUGAAAUGCGCAGAUAUCAGGAGGAACACCGGUGGCGAAGGCGGUUCUCUGGGAAUAUCCUGACGCUGAGGAGCGAAAGUGUGGGGAGCGAACAGG